rnacentral:tRNA from 1 species
GCCUCGUUAGCUCAGUGGCGGAGCACUGGUCUGGUUAACCAGGGGUCGAAGGUUCAACUCCCUCACGAGGCU